rnacentral:rRNA from 2 species
CUCGGCAACGGAUAUCUAGGCUCUCGCAUCGAUGAAGAACGUAGCAAACUGCGAUACUUGGUGUGAAUUGCAGAAUCCCGUGAACCAUCGAGUCUUUGAACGCAAGUUGCGCCUGAAGCCAUUAGGUUGAGGGCACGUCUGCCUGGGCGUCAC